rnacentral:rRNA from 1 species
AUUAGAUAAAAAACCAAAUGCUCGUGAUGCUUUCUGGUGAUUCAUAAUAACUAAACGAAUCGCAUGGCCUUGAGCCGGCGAUGGUUCAUUCAAAUUUCUGCCCUAUCAACUUUCGAUUGAUGCUCGUCGUAGUACAAUGGUUAUGUGACUAAACGGAGAAUUAGGGUUCGGUUCCGGAGAGGGAGCCUGAGAAACGGCUACCACAUCCAAGGAAGGCAGCAGGCGCGCAAAUUACAUGCUCGUCGUAGAUGGAGGUAGUGACAAUAAAUACUGAUACAGUGCUCUUUUGGGUCUUGUAAUUGGAAUGAGUACAAUGCUCGUAAUUUAACGAGGAACAAUUGGAGGGCAAGUCUGGUGCCAGCAGUAGGCUCGCUUCCAGCUCCAAUAGCGUAUAUUAAAGUUGUUGCAGUUAAAAAGCUAGCAGUUGAACCUUGGGUCUGGCUGGCCGGUCCGCCUCACCGAUGCUCGCUCUCCGGCCGGACCUUUCCUCUUGGGGAUCCGCAUGCCCUUUACUGGGAGCUCCGUGAUAGUCGUCGCUGAUAGAUGUCGC